rnacentral:rRNA from 1 species
GACGAACGCUGGCGGCGUGCUUAACACAUGCAAGUCGAACGGAAAGGCCCUGCUUUUGUGGGGUGCUCGAGUGGCGAACGGGUGAGUAACACGUGAGUAACCUGCCCUUGACUUUGGGAUAACUUCAGGAAACUGGGGCUAAUACCGGAUAGGAGCUCCUGCUGCAUGGUGGGGGUUGGACAGUUUCGGCGGUUGGGGAUGGACUCGCGGCUUAUCAGCUUGUUGGUGGGGUAGUGGCUUACCAAGGCUUUGACGGGUAGCCGGCCUGAGAGGGUGACCGGCCACAUUGGGACUGAGAGACGGCCCAGACUCCUACGGGAGGCAGCAGUGGGGAAUAUUGCACAAUGGGCGGAAGCCUGAUGCAGCAACGCCGCGGGCGGGAUGACGGCCUUCGGGUUGUAAACCGCUUUCGCCUGUGACGAAGCGUGAGUGACGGUAAUGGGUAAAGAAGCACCGGCUAACUACGUG